AUGCGCGCUGGCGGCGUGCCUCAUCCCUGCCAGUCGCGCGAACAGACGAGGAGCUUGCUCCUCUGACGUUAGCGGCGGACGGGUGAGUAACACGUGGAUAACCUACCUAUAAGACUGGGAUAACUUCGGGAAACCGGAGCUAAUACCGGAUAAUAUAUUGAACCGCAUGGUUCAAUAGUGAAAGACGGUUUUGCUGUCACUUAUAGAUGGAUCCGCGCCGCAUUAGCUAGUUGGUAAGGUAACGGCUUACCAAGGCAACGAUGCGUAGCCGACCUGAGAGGGUGAUCGGCCACACUGGAACUGAGACACGGUCCAGACUCCUACGGGAGGCAGCAGUAGGGAAUCUUCCGCAAUGGGCGAAAGCCUGACGGAGCAACGCCGCGUGAGUGAUGAAGGUCUUCGGAUCGUAAAACUCUGUUAUUAGGGAAGAACAAAUGUGUAAGUAACUAUGCACGUCUUGACGGUACCUAAUCAGAAAGCCACGGCUAACUACGUG
rnacentral:rRNA from 1 species